AUACGGAGGGUGCAAGCGUUGCCCGGAAUCACUGGGCGUAAAGCGUACGCAGGCGGCACGUCAAGUCGGGUGUGAAAGCCCGGGGCUCAACCCCGGAGUUGCAUUCGAAACUGGCGCGCUUGAGUGCGGGAGAGGGAAGCGGAAUUCCUGGUGUAGAGGUGAAAUUCGUAGAUAUCAGGAGGAACACCGGUGGCGAAAGCGGCUUCCUGGCCCGACACUGACGCUCAUGUACGAAAGCGUGGGGAGCAAACAGGAUUAGAUACCCUGGUAGUCCACGCCGUAAACGAUGAGCGCUAGCUGCUGGGUUUGUCUACCAUCUCAGUGGCGAAGUUAACGCAUUAAGCACUCCGCCUGGGGACUACGGCCGCAAGGCUAAA
rnacentral:rRNA from 1 species